AUGCCCAAAAAAAGAAGAAAGUCAUCAGUUUGCCAAAGAAGAAAGCACCAUUUUGAUAAUGAGAAGAAACCAAAACUUGAUAUCGAUAUUGUAAACACUAACCAGCCUUCUGGCUUGACCCGUUCACCAGUAGAUAAUAUUAUGAAUGAGAUUUUAGCUGAAGUUGAACAUGUUGAAAAAGUAGAUGAUAUUGAAAAUAUUAUAAGUGUACAUAAUAAUCAGUGUGAAGAGUUUAAAGAACUGAACGUUGACAAUUUAAAUCAACAUGUUCGAUGUGAGGUCGAUGAUGAAAAACUACCUGGCUGGACAGCCGUUGAUCAGAUAAUGAACGAUAUUUUAAUUCAAGCUAAUGAAGUGUUCACUGAAGGAUGUGAAGUGCACAAUGAAGAAGUAGAUGUUGACAGUGAAGAAGGUGAUGUGGACAAUAAAGAUGGAGAUGCAGAAGGUGAUGCAGACAAUAACACAAGUGUGGAAGAACUAUUGCCUACUAACUUUGUCAACCAAAAUGUACAGCAUGAGGUCACUGCAGCGACAACACAGACUGAGUCUCCCUUAUCAGAACUGUCUGAAUUUGAGCAAUUAGUAUGUACAUUGAAAUCAGAACUAAGUGAAAAUUAUAUACUUUUUAAAGAUUCAAAUAGGAUAAACAUAUUAGAGCCUUAUCAUGUUAAAGAUCAAACUGACAUUAAGAUAAAACUCUCAGUGGUUAUUGAUGCCAACUUUCUACCAAGGAUUUUCGUCCACAACAAAGAAAUUGGGAAGGACAAUAACAUUUGGACAGGACUACCUACAGUAUACAAUAACAUUGAUUCAGUGCAAAAACUGCUAGCAAGACUCCGUAUGUUUUUCGUAUGUGUUGGUAAUCCAGAUGAGCAAUUUCAGUACAUUACUCCAGUUGGCUCAGGAAUUAGUGAUGCAUUUACUAAUGAAAUAAGGUGUUAUCGUGAAGGUGAUUAUGGUGCCACAAAGUGGGAUACUGCCUACACAUCAACAAUACGUUCGGUCAAAUGCCAAAUGCUUGUUCAGGGUAGUCGUUGCUCGUCUUGUGCAGAAGACCGACGAAUGUUGAGAAAAAGACAACAGAGAGCCGAAGAGAAGAAAACUUCACCACCUGUGACUUUUGUUCAUCGAAUUUAUCAACAUAAACACAUGUCCAGAGAAAAUCUAGUGACCAAAAUUGAGCAACAAAAAACUGAAAUGAGAACCUUGUCUUCAGAAGUAGAGAAAUUAAAGAGACAACUUCAUAAACAAAUCUUGCAAAAUGGUGUAACUUUCAGCAAUCCCAUCGCAGAAAACAUUGAAAUGAAAGACCUCAUGUCAACAUGUCAAAAUGACUUUGAACAAGCCUUUCCCAAUCCAAAUAGCCUCCAAAGAUUGUUCUGGGAACAGCAGAUUAAAUUCAAUUCAGCAGGAAAGAACGGCAUGCGUUGGCAUCCCAUGUUGAUAAGAUGGUGCUUGUUCAUGAGAAGCAAAAGUGCGAAGGCAUAUGAUUCUAUGAGGGACAGUGGUUUCAUAAAGCUACCAAGUACAAGAACACUGUUUGAUUACUCGCAUUAUACAAAGAGUGCUCUAGGUUUCCAACCAGAUGUGAUGAAGAUGUUACAUGAUGAAGCAAGCAAGUUAGGUAAGAAACUAACUGUUUACAUUACCAGUGAUUUUCCAACCCUUUUAUUUGGGUCCAAAUAUGGGCCCCUGUCCCAAUGAGAAAUAUGCUCUUUUUUUCCCCAAGUUUCAGCUCUUAAAUUUUCAAUUGUGUAUAGACAUCAUUGUAAGGUUUUGUUGGUGUCGUAAUGUGGUAUUUUGUUGAUAAAUCUCUUGAAAUUGUUCACGAUAUAUGCAAUUAUAACUUAUUCGCCAUAAUGCAGAAUUUUGCUCCAAAUUUUUCACAAUUUUAUUGGGGACCGACCAAGUUGCACGCAGCUGGUGCGAGCUAAUUCAUUUUCCGCAAAUCAAACAUGUCAUGAACUUUUAUUCCCAAUUGCAUGGGCCCUGGGUCCCAUCCCUUAAACACUAGGAAAAUCACUGAUUACAAUUUAUUUUCUAUAAGUAGGAUUACUGUCAGUGUCAAAAAGAAUAAUUUUAUGAUAAAAGCAUCUCAUAGUGACCAACUUAAACAGCAUUUCAGGACUUUUAAGAAUAAUUUAAUCAGAAUCAAGCACAACUACAAAACAAGUCUGCCAUUUUUAUUUUAACCUUAAAGUCAUGAAAGUCAAUCAUGAUUUGAUGUUCAUUGUACAGGAAUAUGGAAAAAAAUGUACCUAUAAAAAUAUAGCUGUACAGAACAUUGAUCAGGGAAUGCGCCAGAACUAUGUCAUAUAUAUGCUGCUUGAAUUUUCUUGACUGUUUACAAUUACAUGUACUACAUGAACUACUUGUACCUUGGAAAUAGACAUAAAUUUAAGGGUAUCUAAGAGGUUUAUUUAAAAUAAAAAAAAAUGAGAUGUAUGAUUGCCAAUGAGCAUGAUGAGACUACUCUCCACCAGAGUCAAUAUUCUGUGUCUUUAUUUACAUGAUACAAAUAUAUACAUCGUCCAGAAAUUUCAAUAACUUAAUUAUUUUAUUCUAUGAUGGGUUUCUUUUUUUUUCCAGCUAUGUAUGAAGACAACCACAAAAGCUUUGUUGGUAUUUUAUUUGACGAAAUAAAGAUACAGGAGGACUUAGUGUACGAUAAACACACUGGAGAAUUGAUAGGUUUUUGUGAUCUGGACUCCAUUGGCAAUGAAAUUCUGAACUUGGAAAAUCUUGUAGGAAACUGUCAAAAAUCACAAGUUGCAAAAUUUAUGUUAGUGAUUAUGGUGAGAGGUGUGACCAGUAACUUGAAAUUUCCCCUAGCUGGGUUCGCUACAAACAGUAUUACUGCUGAUUUUUUAUAUCCUAUCAUUUGGAAGGCCGUUUCAUUGAUAGAAUGUGUGGCAAAGUUAAAAGUUUUAUUUUGUACAUGUGACGGAGCAUCAGCCAACAGGCGUUUUUUUUCAACUUCACAAGAUAGAUAAUUCUGAGGAACCCGUUUAUUUCACCAUCAACCCACAUGACAACAGCAGAAAUUUGUAUUUUAUCUCAGAUGUCCCCCAUUUAAUUAAGACUGCCAGAAACUGUUUUAGCAACUCAUUCUCCCAUAAAAACACCAGACGACUAUGGAAAAAUGGAAAAGACAUCUCUUGGAUGCACAUGGUGAGACUGUUUGAGGAACACUGUGAGUUGCAACUAUAUAGUCCCUGUCCAAAGUUGACAAGGAGCCACAUUGACCUGGCAGCAUUCACGUAUAUGAAGGUAAAUUUGGCUGCUCAAAUUUUAAGUGGUAGUGUGGCCAAUGCCUUGGAACAUUUGUAUGAUGACAGUGUGUCAGAAACUGUUUUGUUUAUUCGAAACUUCAAUAAAUUUUUCGAUUGCCUGAAUGUGAGAAAUUUGUUUGAAGGACGUAAUAAAAGGAAUCCUGAUUUAGAACCCUUCACAGGUGGUGAUGAUCCUCGACUUACUUGGUUAAAAUCAACAUUUUUGGACUAUUUAAAGGAAUGGAAGCAGUCAGUCAUGCAAAGACCAAACCUGACACCUUCACAGAAAUUAUCUAUGCAACUAAGCGCACAAACUAUAGCUGGGGUGAAAAUCAGUAUAAAUUCUAUAACAGAAUGUGUGAAAUUUAUGUUGGACCAAGGAGCAGAUUUCGUACUAACUUACAACUUCAACCAAGACCCCCUAGAACAACAUUUCGGUCACUAUAGACACAAGGGAGGAGCCAAUAACAACCCCAGUGUUUAUGAAGUAAGAAAUACCAUGACACAGUUACGUGCUGUUGGAGCUCAAGCAUUGAAUCCCAAGCGUGGAAAUAUAACAAAUGUUAACAAUAAUGAAAAUGUUAUCGACAACACGAAACUACAACGAAAACGAUAA
rnacentral:sRNA from 1 species